CACCGCCUGAUUAGUGGCGAACGGGUGAGUAACACGUGAGUAACCUGCCCUUAACUUACGGGAUAACCUCGGGAAAUCGUGGCUAAUACCGGAUAUGAGCUUCCUGCCGCAUGGUGGGUGUUGGAAAGAUUUAUCGGUGAGGGAUGGACUCGCGGCCUAUCAGUUUGUUGGUGAGGUAAUGGCUCACCAAGGCGAUGACGGGUAGCCGGCCUGAGAGGGCGACCGGCCACACUGGGACUGAGACACGGCCCAGACUCCUACGGGAGGCAGCAGUGGGGAAUAUUGCACAAUGGGCGGAAGCCUGAUGCAGCGACGCCGCGUGAGGGAUGACGGCCUUCGGGUUGUAAACCUCUUUCAGUAGGGAAGAAGCGAGAGUGACGGUACCUGCAGAAGAAGCGCCGGCUAACUACGUGCCAGCAGCCGCGGUAAUACGUAGGGCGCAAGCGUUGUCCGGAAUUAUUGGGCGUAAAGAGCUUGUAGGUGGCUUGUCGCGUCUGCCGUGAAAACCCGAGGCUCAACCUCGGGCGUGCGGUGGGUACGGGCAGGCUAGAGUGUGGUAAGGGGAGACUGGAACUCCUGGUGUAGCGGUGAAAUGCGCAGAUAUCAAGAAGAACACCGAUGGCGAAAGCAGGUCUCUGGGCCAUUACUGACACUGAGAAGCGAAAGCAUGGGGUAGCGAACAGGAUUAGAUACCCUGGGUAAUCCAUGCCCGUAAACGUUUGGGCACUAAGGUGUGGGGGGACAUUUCCACCUUUCUCCCGCGCCCCUAGCUUAACGCAUUUAAAUGCCCCCCCCUGGGGGAGUAACGGGCCGCCAAGGGCUAAAAACUCAAAAGGAAUUUGACGGGGGGGCCCGCUCAAAACGGGCGGAAGCAUGGCUGGAUUUAAUUUCUAUUUCUAUCGCCAAA
rnacentral:rRNA from 1 species